rnacentral:SRP_RNA from 1 species
GCCGGGCGUGGUGGCGGGCGCCUGUAGUCCCAGCUACUCGGAGGCUGAGGCAGGAGAAUGGCUUGAACCCGGGAGGCGGAGCUUACAGUGAGCCGAGAUCGCGCCACUGCACACUCCAACCUGGGCGACAGAGCCAGACUCUGUCUCAA